CCUACGGGUGGCUGCAGUGGGGAAUAUUGCACAAUGGGGGAAACCCUGAUGCAGCCAUGCCGCGUGUGUGAAGAAGGCCUUCGGGUUGUAAAGCACUUUCAGCGAGGAGGAAAGGGUGUAAGUUAAUACCUUACAUCUGUGACGUUACUCGCAGAAGAAGCACCGGCUAACUCCGUGCCAGCAGCCGCGGUAAUACGGAGGGUGCGAGCGUUAAUCGGAAUUACUGGGCGUAAAGCGUGCGCAGGCGGUUUGUUAAGCGAGAUGUGAAAGCCCCGGGCUCAACCUGGGAACCGCAUUUCGAACUGGCAAACUAGAGUCUUGUAGAGGGGGGUAGAAUUCCAGGUGUAGCGGUGAAAUGCGUAGAGAUCUGGAGGAAUACCGGUGGCGAAGGCGGCCUACUGGGCAUCAACUGACGCUGAGGCUCGAAAGCAUGGGUAGCAAACAGGAUUAGAUACCCGAGUAGUC
rnacentral:rRNA from 1 species